rnacentral:tRNA from 1 species
GGGAUGAUGGUGGAACUGGUAGACACAACAGACUUAAAAUCUGUCGCUCGAAAGAGCAUCCGGGUUCGAUUCCCGGUCAUCCCACCA